CAGCUUAUCUGAGUGAGGUGAGCUGAUGAAGAACUUCAUCAUGGACCCUGGCCUAAAUGAAGUAGUCCUACAUGACAGAUGGCGAAAGUGUUAAGAUACAGGCACUGUACUUCAUACCUCAAGGAUUGCAACAUCCCCACCUGUCCUUCAGGAUACAGGCACUGUACUUCAUACCUCAAGGACUGCAACAUCCCCACCCAUCCUUCAGGAUACAGAAGUAUUUUGUGGAAGACUACCAGGU